rnacentral:rRNA from 1 species
UACGUAGGUGGCUAGCGUUGUCCGGAUUUACUGGGCGUAAAGAGCGCGCAGGCGGUCGUUCAAGUCGCGUGUGAAAGCCCCCGGCUCAACUGGGGAGGGUCACGCGAUACUGUUCGACUCGAAGGCAGGAGAGGGAAGUGGAAUUCCCGGUGUAGUGGUGAAAUGCGUAGAUAUCGGGAGGAACACCAGUGGCGAAGGCGGCUCACUGGCCCGAUACUGACGCUGAGGUGCGAAAGCGUGGGGAGCAAACAGG